GGAGGAUCCAAGCGUUAUCCGGAUUCAUUGGGUUWAAAGGGUGCGUAGGCGGACUGAUAAGUCAGCGGUGAAAUCUCUCGGCUUAACCGAGAAACUGCCGUUGAUACUGUCAGUCUUGAGUACAGAUGAUGUGGGCGGAAUAUGACAUGUAGUGGUGAAAUACUUAGAUAUGUCAUAGAACACCGAUUGCGAAGGCAGCUCACAAAACUGUCACUGACGCUGAGGCACGAAAGCGUGGGGAUCAAACAGGAUUAGAUACCCUGGUAGUCCACGCCCUAAACGAUGAUUACUCGAUGUUGGCGAUACACCGUCCAGCGUCCAAGSGAAAGCGUUAAGUAAUCCACCUGGGAAGUACGGC
rnacentral:rRNA from 1 species